CUCCGCGUCUAGAACCUGGAUUGGCAGUCUUCAAACGUGUGUCCUUUUUCUUUUAGAUAAAGAAUACACUUGCUUAGUUAUAAAACAGAUGGAAAAGAACAAUUCAACAUUUACUGCAUUUACUGUAAUCAACAACUCACUCCAGCAUUCAAUCCAUGGAGCUCAGUAUGAAGUCCCUUUGUUUUAAUAUAAAGGUUGCACAUUUCAUCCUAAAUGUGUGCAUUUCUGUAAUCAAUUGUUUGUAAAUACCUUGGGUAUUGUGUAUUAAAUGUACAGAGGGAGAUUUCUGUUACAGCUUUUAUUUGUAUGUGUUUUCCAGUAAAAUUAAUGAUUGAUUUAUCACUAUUCCCAGUCCCAGUUUUUUACAGCUAAUUUAUAAAACGAAAUAGAGGAAAAAAAAAAUGAAAAGCAUAAAAUGGCAUGAAAGUCAGUCAAUGUAAUCUAUCUAUCUAUCUAUCUAUCUAUCUAUCUAUCUAUCUAUUAUCUAUCUAUCUAUCUAUCUAUCUAUCUAUCUAUCUAUCUAUCUAUCUAUCUAUCAUCUAUCUAUCUAUCUAUCUAUCUAUCAUCUAUCUAUCUAUCUAUCUAUCUAUCUAUCAUCUGUCAUCUAUAAACGGAAAUGGUCCUUUUUCCUCCUACUAACACCAGUAACAUUCCGGUAUCCAUCAUAGCUAACUAUUUCACUAUCACCCCCUCUCCCCAGGCCCGGUGCCUUGGGGUUAUCCUAGAUUCUGCUCUGUCAUUCACUCCUCAUAUCCAGUCACUUAUUAAAUCAUGUCACUUCCACCUAAGGAACAUAUCCAAAAUACGAUCACCCAAGAUGCUGCCAAAUUUCUUAUUCACUCUCUCAUCAUAUCACGUCUAGACUACUAUAACUCUCUUUUAAUUGGCCUUCCCAGAGACUGCGACCCAGAGGCUUAUAUACCUCAGCAACCACUCCUCCUCUGCCAUGCCAUUCUGCCAAUCCCUGCACUGGCUUCUACUACUCGCAUUCAAGACUUUUGCAAAACUGCACCCCUCCUCUGGAAUUCUCUCCCAUGGUCUUUCUGACUUUUCUUCAGGAGAAUAUGUUUACACUAUAUCUAUACUAUAACUAUAGUGAAAGCAUACUUAUAACAUUAAUUGUGGAUAGCUGGCUGUAUAGUUUAUUGAGCCACCUCCAAACCUAAAUCAAAUAAUGAUACUUUAGUAGCUGCAACAAUUUUGUUACUUUUAUACGAAUGGGAAAAUUUGCUACAUGAUUAAUAUUAAGAUAACAAAGUUACAUUGUAUUUUGUUUUUAUCCUGUUUUUAUCUGGAUGGUUUGUAAUAAGUGUUGAUAGUAGGAUCUGAUUGUUGUGAAGUGAUACAUAUUAUAUGUUAGCUCUCUUUGAGAAAGGCCCGCUAGUGUGAUAAUAAAUGAAUUUUUUUAAAAAUA